GACGAACGCUGGCGGCGUGCCUAAUACAUGCAAGUCGAGCGAAGUUUUUCUGGUGCUUGCACCGGAAAAACUUAGCGGCGAACGGGUGAGUAACACGUAAAGAACCUGCCUCAUAGACUGGGACAACUAUUGGAAACGAUAGCUAAUACCGGAUAACAGCAUUAACUGCAUGGUUGAUGUUUAAAAGUUGGUUUUGCUAACACUAUGAGAUGGCUUUGCGGUGCAUUAGCUAGUUGGUGGGGUAAAGGCCUACCAAGGCGACGAUGCAUAGCCGACCUGAGAGGGUGAUCGGCCACACUGGGACUGAGACACGGCCCAGACUCCUACGGGAGGCAGCAGUAGGGAAUCUUCCGCAAUGGGCGAAAGCCUGACGGAGCAACGCCGCGUGAGUGAAGAAGGAUUUCGGUUCGUAAAGCUCUGUUGUUAGGGAAGAAUGAUUGUGUAGUAACUAUACACAGUA
rnacentral:rRNA from 1 species